GACUGUACAAAGGUAGCAUAAUCAUUUGUCUUUUAAUUGGAGACUGGAAUGAAUGAUUUAAUGAGAAUUAUACUUUCUUUAUUUUUGUAAGAAGAAUUUAAUUUAUAAGUAAAAAAGCUUAUAUAUAUUUAAAAGACGAGAAGACCCUAUAGAAUUUUAUUGUUAUUUUUUAUAAAUAAAUAUUUGAUUAUAUAAAAUUUAUUAUAAAUAUAAUUUGGUUGGGGCGAUUGAAAAAAUUUAAUAACUUUUUUUUUUUUAUUCAUUUAUUUAUGUAAGAUUGAUUUGAUAAAUAUUUAUUAUAAGAUUAAAUUACCUUAGGGAUAACAGCGUUAUUAUUUUAAAGAGACCAUAUCGAUAAAAUAGUUUGCGACCUCGAUGUUGGAUUAAAAUUAAUUUUAGGUGUAGAAAUUUAAUAAUUAAGUCUGUUCGACUUUUAAAAUUUUACA
rnacentral:rRNA from 1 species